ACCAUUUCAUUAUUUUUCAUGAAACAAAACAUUUUUUUUAUAAAAUACAUGGAGAAUAGGUCCCUUUCAAUGGAUUUUUACACUGAACUAGGCUUUUAUAAAAAAAAAAAAAAAUUGUAAAAAAACUUUUUUUCUCGAUUUUAAGGGGAUGGAAAGGGGUGCGGACUAUACAUAAAUGCAUACUAUACACGGCCGAAUACGGUAGUGUAAUCAGACAAAAAAUAACUAUUCAUUUUACAACCUAAGUCAUAUGUAUUAGUACCAUGAUUUAGAUCCUGGUUAAUAAUUUCAGCUUUGUUUUACUCAUAACCCUACAAAUUAAAACUUAUUCCCAUUUCAAAGAUUGAAGGGAUAUUUAGGAAUAAAUACUUUUGUCUCUACUACUUCUCUUGUUUUUGUGUUCAAGCAAACAACAAUCAAUUAAUCAAAGUCUGUAGACUUUUAUGGCCCACCUACGAUAGUAGAGGGGCAUUAUUAUGUUUUCUGGUCUGUGCGUUGGUCUGUUCGUCCGUCGUCUGUCCGCCGUCCGUUCGUCCAUCUGUCCCACUUCAGGUUAAAGUUUUUGGUCAAGGUAGUUUUUGAUGAAGCUAAAGUCGAAUCAACUUGAAACUUAGUACACAUGUUCCUUAUGAUAUGAUCUUUCUAAUUUUAAAGCCAAAUUAGACUUUUGAUAUUAAUUUCAUGGUCCACUGAACAUUGAAAAUGAACGUGCGAG
rnacentral:lncRNA from 1 species